rnacentral:lncRNA from 1 species
CUUUGCUCUCACCCAGACACCUAGUCUUGUGUCUAUUAUAUCUCCAUACCCUAAAACUCUUUCUCCUUAAUUUUCACACGCCCCAAAUGUAUCUCAAUGAUCUAUAGUGCACAAAAAUUUCAAGAAGAAAUUUGACUUAAAUAAUGAGAUAUGAAGAGUCCUUUUCUAAGUCAAAUACCUAGUCAACGAAAAUCCAAACAGGGCAAGACAAGUAGUGCCCAACUCUUAGGCGUCCCCUCCUUCUUUUUCAGCCAUGGACCACC